AUGGGGAUGGGGGCCCGUGCAGGUCUCGUGCUAUCUCUACCCUAAACCCGCCCUUGUUCCUGGGUAAUGACAUUGUUGUUGGGGUCUUUCUCCAGAGUUUCCCCCGUGCGGUUGAAAAAAAAGAAACUCCGAUGCCUCGUGCGUGGCCAUGCACGGCGUUGGAAAUAAAAUGAUAUCGCCCUGGAGAAGGAUGAGGGUGGUGCUGCAUGCAAUACAAGUGCACCAGUGGUCAUCGUAGCCCCUCCUCUCCACCACCCCCACCUUUU
rnacentral:telomerase_RNA from 1 species